AAACAAUUUACAUGCAUGAGAAUUUUUAACUACAUUGGUAAAAACAAUCCAUGUUUUAAAAUCAUGCCCAACCUAGGGCUUGUUCUUGCUUCUCACAAUUUCGUAGCACACAGGAUCAAGAGCACACAAUUCAGUAAACAACUAGAGCCUCCAUGGCAGCUGCUUCUUCGGUGAGCUAUAAAUGUUCAUCUGUAGGAAAGUAGUGUUUCUGCUUUUAAUAUCUGAAAGUGUUUGAGUUAUUAGUAUAAAAUAUUAAGCAGACAAAAAAACAUCUGCUUUACUAGUAGCAUGAGGUUAUUUUUUGCUAUCAUGAAAGGCGAAAAUAUCUCCAGAAAUUACUGCCUUUGCUUCUCCUGCUUCCUGAUUAACAGCAUGUUCAGGGACUGGAAUGUAGCAUUUGCUUUUAAAUUGGCAAUUUUGCUAAUUUAUUUUGUAAUGAUUUCUGUUCUGUUACUUCCCUUCAACCCAGAUUUCUGACUUAAAACUCAUCUGCUGUUACUGACUGAGAAGAUGUACCAGAUAGGCACUUUCCUGUUAAAAUUCCAGAAAGCACCUUUUCUAAAGUGCAUGUGGGAAAAAGGAACAAAUCAUUAAAUAAACACAACAACCUGCAUAGAAAUCCAAUAUCCAACAGAUACAUACAGAUCUUAUUGGAUAAAUGGAUCAUUUUACUGUUACAGAAAGACCAUUAUUGUUUAGUUCCACCGAUCACGCACAUGGAAUGAUAUUUUAAAGAAACGAAGCAUUUGCUGUCUUCUGAAAGAAUGCAUAUAAGACCAUUUGCUCCACAUGGUGGCGGGGGUGGAAGGAUUAGAGUAAUAGAACAGAAUAUUUAUUUAUCUGUGUUUUGACCUCAAUUCCAAACGAUAUAAAAACAGACAAGAGCAAUUGCUCAUAAUUCUGCAGUCAUCAUUACCACCAGGAGUUCAACAUACUCAACAUAAAAGCAUACUGAGAGCCUGAAGUCUAUCAGAGCUACUAAUUUUUAAAGUCAAGUCCUCAAAUUCUCAUGCUCAGUAAAUAAACGAGUCACCUCUGCAGUGUUAUAUUCAUACCCUUGAUGCAUUCCACUGCAAUUAACUGUAUAGCUGAGAACUGGUAUCAAAAAUAGUUUUGACCAUGCUUUCUGAAAUUUCAUUUUAAGAAUAGCAAAUAGGUUCCUCUGCUUCAGGAGCAGCAAGUCAGCCCAAGUGCAUUUCAAUACAUCUGCACCCUCCCACACCCAGAUCCCAAACAAACCCAAAAGCACACAUCAAACAAAGCCCUAGGCACAAUAUUUGCUAAACAAGUCCUCAACUUUUAUCAUUCUGCAGCUUAAGAGAAUGCAUGAAGGCAAUGGAGAGGAAAAAAAUUGUACUGUGUAGUGUCAUAGUGUGAUUAUUCUGCAAUAGGAAGAAAAAUGUCGCAUCCUGUAACUGGUAACUGGUUGCAUCAGACCCAUUUUGCCAGGUCUCACCUGACAUCCCCUGUUUAAACAGACUCAUCCAGACACCUUAGCGCUAUCCAGGAAAACAAAACCACACAUAUGUUGCUGAAUCAAGACACAGAACAAGAAAAAAACCACACUGAUUUUACCUCCCAAAUCCUAUCACAACUUGACAGUCCAUCUAUAAAACAUAGUUUAUUUCUAAUCGGUCAAUUCUAAAAACUUCUCUGCAACUAACAACAUUAUGCUAUUGAGAAUAAGUAAACAGGCAGAACCUACUAAGACCCACUUGUUGGGUAUAUUUAUAGAGCUACUGUGGCAGCUUUUGUUCCUCCAUGCACUGGGAAUGGCUCCCAAUCUUGAAGCAUCAGAGCGGAUAAUCUGCCAGCACAUUUUUCAGCACCAGAGGAAAAAAAAUUGCCAGAAUCCAGCAGAAGAGAAGUAGCAGCUCCAUUGCUACUGGACAGAGCUUUAGUCAGGUACAGAUUUACCCAGAAAAGUAGCAGCGACUUUAUUUUUUUCCUACAUCUGUUACUAGCUAGAGGAGUAAUUUUGGGGCUCAGUGUCAGGCUGACUGGAGCUCAGGAAGCUUGAAAGCAAGCAUACGGUGCUGAUUUGGAGGAAAGUGUCAGAAUCCAAGCAUUUUGAGUAUGACUGAGGAAAAAUCUCAUACCGGAAUGUGACAGUCCAUAAAUAACAGAAACAGGCGUUUCACCUGAGGUUUUACAACUGCAACCAGCUACUCUGGGAAGACUGGUAACAGGUACCAUCAGGAACAUCAUUUCAGGGCCUCUAAUUCUAGGUCUCCUUAUUUAGAAGGAUACUAGGGCAAACAUGCGGUUGCUGCACAAGACAGCAAGUAGUGCAGCGAUUCAUUGGAGGCAACUAUUUACCCAUUUAGGCUUCAGUGCGCCCAAGCCUGGGGACAGAUUUGGACGGAUCUACUAAAAAAGCAACUCCAGCUGCUUUGCUGUGUGUGUACUGGGGCAAGGACUCCUGCUCCCGCAGGACUGUCCAGGCGACCGGCUCCGCUCCUUGUCCCGCAGCCGGCUCCCUCAGGUCUCCUCGAACCUCUCGGCUCCGCUCUGGAACCGCGGCGAGUUGGGGCGCAGGGCAGCACCCCGGAGGGGACUGCGGUUUCAAAAACAGUGCAACUGCACGUGAUGGGAAUAGCCAAGGUGGCGGGAAGAACGGCACCGCUACCUGCGCCGGGAGAGCCCGGAAAAGCUUCAUCGCCUGAUGUUUAAUGGAUUGCAGGAAACAGGGGCUUGUUUCUCCCUCCUAUGGCAUCCUCUCAAGACCACAGGCAGGUGACCUUGAAGAAAAAAGCCUGGAUCAAUACAGAAGUCCUCUACUGCAUCUUCAGAAACAUUAUAAAAAGUCCUUUAUAAAAGUGGAAGAGAUGGCAAAAUUUGUGCUCAUUGUCAUGUCCAUGGCUAUUCUGUAGUGGUUACUAGAAA